rnacentral:rRNA from 1 species
AGAGUUUGAUCCUGGCUCAGGACGAACGCUGGCGGCGUGCCUAAUACAUGCAAGUCGAACGCUUCUUUCCUCCCGAGUGCUUGCACUCAAUUGGAAAGAGGAGUGGCGGACGGGUGAGUAACACGUGGGUAACCUACCCAUCAGAGGGGGGAUAACACUUGGAAACAGGUGCUAAUACCGCAUAACAGUUUAUGCCGCAUGGCAUAAGAGUGAAAGGCGCUUUCGGGUGUCGCUGAUGGAUGGACCCGCGGUGCAUUAGCUAGUUGGUGAGGUAACGGCUCACCAAGGCCACGAUGCAUAGCCGACCUGAGAGGGUGAUCGGCCACACUGGGACUGAGACACGGCCCAGACUCCUACGGGAGGCAGCAGUAGGGAAUCUUCGGCAAUGGACGAAAGUCUGACCGAGCAACGCCGUGUGAGUGAAGAAGGUUUUCGGAUCGUAAAACUCUGUUGUUAGAGAAGAACAAGGACGUUAGUAACUGAACGUCCCCUGACGGUAUCUAACCAGAAAGCCACGGCUAACUACGUGCCAGCAGCCGCGGUAAUACGUAGGUGGCAAGCGUUGUCCGGAUUUAUUGGGCGUAAAGCGAGCGCAGGCGGUUUCUUAAGUCUGAUGUGAAAGCCCCCGGCUCACCGGGGGAGGGUCAUUGGAAACUGGGAGACUUGAGUGCAGAAGAGGAGAGUGGAAUUCCUGGGUGUAGCGGGGAAAUGCGUAGUUAAUAUGGAGGAACAUAAGUGGGCGAAGCCGGCUCUCUGGUCUGUAACUGACGCUGAAGGUUCGAAGGCGUGGGGGGAGCAAACAGGAUUA